GCAGAGGAUUGAAUUUCGAUCCACUCUGUAGUAAUGCAGUUUAAAAUAAUUGGGUGAAUUCGGGGAAACCUAAGUUUUUGCUUUUUGUGAAAAUAAGGCAAUCCCGAGCCGAGCCUCAAAGAGUUAAAAGUUUUGAGGAAGGUGUAGAGACUAGCAGGUGAGACUCAACGAUAAUCCUGCAUUAGCGCCCAACUUCGCACUCUUUUGCAAAAAAGAACGAAGAUGAUAUAGUCCGAUCCUUGGAGAAAUUCAAGC
rnacentral:ncRNA from 1 species